UUAAAGCAUGGGAUCUGCUUUUGAUUUAAGAUAGAUAAUAAAUCUUAUUCUCUCCCGUCCGUAGUCUCUUCGCCCCAGCCCACAUUUAAGACCAGUUACGGUUGCAGACAGCAAACUGCUGGCGCUUGGUGGGUUUGAGACCUCUCCUUCCCAUUUUCCUUGAAAUACAGUACUUUGGCUGGAUGAAUAGGUCAGCGUUUGCUGAGAGAAUUUUAUUUUGUUUUAUGAAGUGUGAAAGAAUGUUAGGAGAUUUUAAAUCAGGGGCCUAUUAUUUUAGACUCAGAUGAAUGUAGGUGCUUGACUCAACAUUAAAACUGUUCCUAUAUGGUAGUGUUAUUAAAAGUAUGACAUAGCCCUUAUUUUGUAAUGUAACGGUUUAGUCAUGCAAAGUGCACUGUGACUAUUUGGUUCAAGAUUUCUCCCCCCUAGAGUAAAAUCCUAUUUUAACACCAUUUUACUGUUGCAAAAUUGGCUCUAUUUGGGCAACUGGGUCUGAAAUACAGUUCUAGGGCGCUUAAAAUUGUGCAGUGGAUAAGUUGAAGGCAUGAAGCUGUGGAACAGACACUGCUGCAGCAUGCUGCAUGGGAUCAUUAAAUGGCAAGAAUUGUUUAUGCUGCUGAUCCAUUGCUGGUGGAGGAAGAAUCCUCAAGGGCACCAUUUUCAGGUGGCUGAGAGUGUCAAGGAUCACGUACCCUGUUGUUUUCUAAGGCUUUGCUACUUGCUUGUUAACCUGAGCUUCAUAAUUUUCUAUCUAUCCCAAAGUGAAACUCAAGACAACAAAAGAUAACACAUAUAAAAGAAGUAGAAUAUAUUAUGCCCUGAAGAAUCUAUUGUAAGAACUUGUUUUUCUGCCUGAGGUUAUGCCAGUAUAACUAUUAACUAGGUGAGAAAUCUUAAACAAAACUAGCAAUGUAGUAAAAGUAGAACUUCCAAUUGCCUAAUAAAUUUCAGCUAAUAAUAUAGCCAGAUAACCUAGUUGUCUAUAAAAGGGCUUUAACCCAAUGGUGAUGCUUAAUACAUUAGGUAAUACAAGGUUUUAAUUUGGGCUGGAAGCGAGGGCGGUGAUCCAUUUCCCUGGCAUGCCAACCUUAUAUGCCAAUUUUUAGAAAUUGAUGACUUCAUCUUAAUUCCCUUGUGAGUAAGUGCCCUUUAUCCCUUUUAAGAAUUUUCACCUGCUAUCCCAAAUUUCAAAGAGAGAACAAUCAUCUUAGUGAGAUACUAGUGGAAGAGACUGGUCAUUCAUUCCUUCUGGUGUUUUAUCAGAUGGAAAGUAAAGAAGAAAACAAAACUCCUUUUGUUACAUGUGUAUAUUCUUCAGUUCAUGUAAAAUUUUGAUGCAGUACUUGGAGGGAUUGGUAUCUAUGCAUUAUAUGCACAAUGAUGGGGAUGGAAAAAUAUAAUCUGUCACUGGGAGCAGAGAUUAAAUAUAGAUGUUGCAUCUCCCUUUCCCUUCACAUUGUUAAGAAAGCCCCACCUUCUCCCUUCCAGUCUUUACUCUGAAGAAUUGUCUUGUUUGUAGCUUGCACUGCAGCAAGUAGGAAUUUUAUAAAAUAAGGCCUACGCUCAGGAGAAAUGAAAAGGCAGCACCUUUCACUCAGCAUGAAAAGAAGAUUGUAGAACAUAUAGCGUGAAUUUCAUCUCCAAAGGAAGGCAAAAUUUAACAACUGAUAUUAAGGAGGAAAAUGAUGGGAUUAUUUUGUUUCGCAGAAAAUCACACAAAAGCAAAUAGGGUUGGCGGCUAGAAGGACUCCAGGAGGCUGUACAGGAUGCUAGGUUCACACAAAGCUUUUCCUUUUGGACUUUGAUGAGUCAUAAUGUCUUCUCUGAACUUGCUUUUCUCUUUCUAGUUUGACAUCAAGGAAAAGAUGUCAUUUUUUUCAUGUCUGUAUGGCUACAUUCACUUGUUAUGUAAGUCGGCCAUGGUUGACAUCCUGCAUAGAGUAGACACUGGGUUUGAAAAUUGACAUCUAGCUACAACACCCUCUCUCUCUAUAUAUAUAUGCACAAAGUCAGGAAGCUUAAAGUUUCGUCCAGCAAACUAUUCAUGCUGGGUGAAAUGUAGUCUAGCUUCAAACAGGAGCAAGUAAGACCAUUUAGGGAAUGAGGACUUCAUCUACAGUAAUGGAAACUAAACUUUGACAAAGUGAAUCAGACGACAUUUAAUUUAGUGAAGAGUUCAGAAUUAGCAAGUGGAUUUAUUACGGAAAUAAACACUUCUCUCCUUUUUUCUAAUCAACAGUCAAUAAAUUUAGAUUCUCCACAGCCAGUCCUCCAAAAUACCACCCCACUUCUCUUUGUGAUCAUACCAUCCUCUAGUUCAAAAGCCUCUGUCUAUUCCCAAUCCAUUCUGUGAUGAAUUUCAGACCUCUUAGCAUGUCAGCCACAGCUGUGCAGGGACAGAUCUCUACUAGCUUUCUUGACCUCCUGAAAAUAUGUGAGCUCAGGAAGCCUGGUUGACCUCCUGGCAACUAAGGGGCCAGACUGGAUAUAUUAGUUCAUUCUCAAUGAAAUGCAGGUUCCCCAAGCACAUCCUCCAAAGCUCAGCUACAGCCCAGAUACUUUCCAAGGGCCCUCCUUGCCCUCUCUGCCCUCCCCAGGCAAAGGAAACCGCUUGUCCUCCUCUGCUCCCAUAGCAACCGGUCUGUACCAUGAUAGCACUUAUCACUUUGAUGCAAUUAUUUGUUUGGUAUCCUCCAGUAGAUGGUUAGUGCCUGGAGGGUGUAGAGCAAGUUCCAUUCAUCUUUGAAACUGCUACAAUUAGCCGGAUGCCUAGGACAUUGUAGGUUGUUUAAACAUUUUCUGUUGAAUGAAAGGAUGAGAGAUAUAUAUUAAAAUUAUCUGACACAGAGAAUUUAGCAGGUCUCAGUUAUUGAACAAGAUUAUUAAGUGUUCAGAAUAUGUUAUUUUUCCAAGCUGAAAAGGCUGAUGUGUUUUAGAGUUUGUUUUGCUUUGGGUGGUGGGAGUAGGUGGGAGGUGAGGAGAAGCUAUGGCUUUUGCUAUCAUAUAAACAGCAUUGAGAGGAGGUUUUGUUUCGUUUUAAAAUUAGGCUAGGAAUAACAUGAGUACAUACAUGGCAGUUGCGUAAUAGAGUAAUCAUAAUAGCAGCUCCCUUUUAUUUCUCCUUUAAAACAUUUUCUGGUGUCUGUGCAGAGACCUUUAUGUAUGCCAUUUAAUCCAUUUAACCCUAUGAGAUAUGUGAUAUUAUCCCCAUUUUACAGAUAAAGAAACUGAGAGGCAAUAAGUAAUUUGCCUAAGAUAGUCUUCUCCAAAGUGGAGUGAGCAAUCUGGGAAGAACAUUAGAAAUUUUAUUCCUUUUUCCUCUAAUGAUUAAAAAAAUGUAAAGACAAAAGAGAAAAAGAAAAAAGAGCUUUGUAAAGAUUAUACUCAUUUACCCUGGCAACUUAACAUGGUUCCAAGUAAACCAGUCACAUACCAGUCAAAUAAUGUAUCUGAAGACUACUUAACAGAAGAGCAGGGCCUGCAAGGCAGAGGGUAAGAGCGGUGCUCCCUCUGGUCCUUUCACUUUUGAGAACUUGACAUUGCCUGAAGUUAAUAGUUUCCACAGAUUAUGUUGGUGGCUGGCGCUAGUGGCAAAGCACUCAGCUGCCAAUACAGGAUACAUAAGAGAUCUGGGUUCAAUCCCUGGGUUAGGAAGAUCCCCUGGAGGAAGGCAUGGCAACACACUCCAGUUUUAUUGCCUGGAGGAUCCCCAUGUACAAAGGAGCCUGGCAGGCUAUAGUACAUAGGGUCACAAAGAGUCAGACACAACUGAAGCAACUUAGCACGCACACACGCACAGAUUAUGUUAUCUGGUUUUAACCAAUCAGUUUGAAAAACAAGUGGCUUUAAGAGAUUCCUUCAGGUCUUCCCUGGUGGUCCGGUGGUUGGGAGUCACCUGUCAAUGCCUGUAUCCCUGGUCCAGGAAGACGCCACGUACCUCGGGACACCUAAGUCCACAUGCCACAACUACUGAGCCUGCACUCCAGAGUCCGUGAGGUGCAGCUGCUGAAGCCGGCAAGCCCUAGAACCCUUCCUUUGUAAGGAGAGAAGCCACCACAGCGAGAAGCCUGCGCACCACCAGAAAGAGUACCCCCACCCGUGGUAACUAGAGAAAAGCUUGCGCAGCAACAGAGACACAGUACAGCUAAAAAUAAAUUUUUUUUUUAAAAGAAAAGAUCCCUUCAAAGAAAUUGAAGAGUGAGAUAAAUCUGAUAAUGCAAGGACAGGUGAAAGUUAGGAUCAAAUCUGCCACUUUAACCUCUGAGGUUCUUCGCCAGCCACACUGGGAAGUGAGAACAACGCAGUCCAGUUAGAUCUGGUAAGAAAUAGGUUAAAGCGUUCACAGUUAUCCAAGACUACUUGAAAUUUAAAUAUAGGUUAGCCAUCGCUUUUUUUUUAAACCAUCAAUAAUGAUGGAUUCUGACCCAAGCAUAUAUUUUGCCUUGAGAUAUUAACAAGCGAUUCAAUGGUAGACUCAUGAUUAGCAAGCUGGGCUUUCCUUAUGGUUCAGCUGGUAAAGAACCCACCUGCAAAGUGGGAGGCCUGGAUUUGAUCCCUGGGCUAGGAAGAUCCCUUGGAGAAGGGAAAGGCUACCCACUCCAGUAUUCUUGCCUGUAGAAUUCCACGGACUGUAGAGUCCAUGGGGUCGCAAAGAGUCGGACAUGACUGAGUGACUUUCAGUUAAAUCUUUUUAUGUUAUCUCAAUCUCAUACUGUUAUAGCUUCUAUUUUGUGUUUUAUAAUGCACUUGAUACAUUAAUACUGAAUACAUGUAUUAUGAAUACAUAUACAUAAAUCAUGUUCUAUCUAUUCUUCCCCCCACCCCUUUUUUUAACAGCAAGAGGAAUGUGAUCAGACAACUUGGAGAUGACUAAAGAAUGAAGUCAGAAUUUUUAAGCCAGCUUGGUAAAACUCCAGACCCAGACUGAUCUGCACUGUUCAUGUAAAAAUUGCCCAGUAAUUUGUCAUCAAUACAGGUCUCUAACCCAUUAUGGGGUAGGGGAAAGGUGGAAUCUAAAUGAUCUUCAGAACAUUUGAGAAUCCCUUGAAGCUGUGUUCAAAAUUCCGUGUUCAUGUUAAUGUGUAUUUUCUGUGGAAGGAGUCCAUACAUUUCAUCAGCUCCUCAAAGGGAUCUUUCCCAAAGUGGGUAAGGAUUACUGAUACACAGGUACCAGCAGCAUCAAUGAUCUAGAAUACUUAUUGGAUAAAUUAAUCUUUUUUCAUAACUUUUAUAAAAUAGGUGUGCACAUUUCAUAUGUCCAAACAUGUCUACCCUUAAAAAAAAAAACAGAACUCAAAAAAUUUCUCUAGAAAGUUCAAAGGCAGGAUAAUUUCAUCCUGAAGGAUCGUCUCAAUAAUACUCCAUCUUAUAAUAUUGACUAGACAAGACAGGGUUUUACAAAUGUCAUCCUCAACAUGUUUUUGAGGCUCUGACACAUCUGACACAUUGCGCAGUGGUACAUUAAGAAUCAGAACAUAGAUUCAGGAUCUGAAAUUUUGUCAUUGUCACAAAUUGUUCAAAGAUUUUAACUUUCACUUGGCAGGCCCCUGCCCUCAGUGCCCUUUGAUGGGUACUGUGUUUCUCUGAGUGAUAAUGUGCUUCUGUACCAAGGUGACACUGUAUCUCAUCUCCUAGCCCCACCACCAAGUGCUGUGGUAGGAGAAUAUGCUGUAUCCACCUCAUAUACUGUUUUAUUAGAGUUCAUUAUGGUCUUUUACUCUUAGACCACCUUCAGCUGCUACAGGACUUAUCCUUUCAGUUACCAUUGACUGCCUUUUUAUUUGUGUGCAACCGUUUUCCUGCUUGACUUGAAUUACGUCACCCACCAGAUUCUUACUUCAAGUUUAGUACACAAAAGCACAAUCUGCUGUUGUCUUAUUUCAGUCACUUUUCUAUACUUGAAGUUCUAUAUAAAUUCAAGAGAAGAGUAGAAAAUAAGCCAGGAACAUAUAAAAACAGAAAUCACCACUAAAAUUACCUUAGAUGACUCUUUAAAGAACUUGAGAUAAAUAAUCUGCUUUGGGGGAGAAAGAAAAAAAGUUGGUCUCUCCACAUGUAGGGAUAAAAUAGAUCCCACAACAAUAUGGUUUUAUUUUAGUUUUCAAUGGUUUUAUCAGCUUGAAAGUGAUGAAUAUAUAAAACAAGUAUAAAAAGUUUGGGGAAGGGGUUGUGAACAUCUGGAUUCUACAUGGGGCAAGGUUUAAUGCUGGGCAGGAAGCUUUUAUCUUCCCUUCAGAUAAAGUCAACUGAACAGUCAAUGACUUCAGUGAAUGCUGGGUAUAAAGGCAAUGCUCACAUUUGGUCUGGGAUUGUGCAUAUUCAAUUGCUUAUCUUAUCAGGGACAUUGUGAUGUCUGCUGGAAUUUUAUUAUUUUGCUGACUAUUAGUGGCCUUUUGAUAAUAGACUAUCCUUAAAUACACUUUCUUUAUUUCCUUAAAUAAAUAGGGGAGAAAAUAAAGGAUUUGCUGAUAAAAGGCACAUCAUAAUGUAUAACAUUUUUUUGUUUGUUUAAUACUUAGGGUUUGGGGAUGUGUCCGACUCUUAAAGACAGUGACAUUUCACACUCUACCUAUAUUUUGUCAAACUGCUUGAAAAAUAUAUCCACCUAUUGGGGACUUUUGUCUUUAAGUGAUACUUCAUUUUAUGCUGUGAUUUAUUUACUGACAUUAAUAACUGUAACCACCAUUACCUGAUAUUCUGCAGGUCUAUGGCCCCUAUCAAUGUUGAUUAUUUUCCUGAGAGCUUAAGAAUGCUGAGCUAUUAUUUCUAAUGCUAACAUAAUAAUUACUCAUCGAUUGAGGAAAGUAGAUAGUGAAAACAUAAUUUAAUAGUCUAGAUAAUCAUCAGUAAUUAUUAUUUAAUAUUAACUAAUUAAUUAAAUAUUAACAUUAAUCAUUUAAUAAAUAAUGACUAUUCUUUAAAACGAAGUCUCAACCACAGAGCAGACGUGCUGCUUGGGACCUUUUCCCAAUGGGGACUCCAGAUGUGCUGUGACAUGGGACUUCCCAACGCUGUAUAAGUCUGAAUGUUUGUCAAACACCCAAUUUGACUCUGAGGUCCUCCAGGGACUGACAAGUAAAAUAAUACAGAACGAAGAUGUGGGCUCUAAACACAUACAAAGGCUGCUAGGGGACCGAGAGACGAUAGUGAUACAAGGACUUUCCAAAUGAAGCCAGAGUCUUGGACUAAUUGGUUACAAGUCUGCAGAUUCUUUACCAUCAGAGCCAUCAGGGAAGCUAUGCUGGCAAGAUGAAGGUAAGAAGGAGAAACAAGGCUCAGGGAACACACGGUGUUGCGUGGAAUAUUGUUGUGCUGGACUUCUCCAUCUGCCUCCAGAUCCACUCUCUACUCUUCUGUGCCUUGCUCUGUGCCCCAAAGACUGUAUUAGUAAGCUCAUUUGUCUUCUGCCUUCCAACUGAUACCAGCAGGAACUCUGGGGGUGAGGGAUAGUGAGGUCAGGGUGUCUAUUUCCCUGUUGAGUUUCUGAUUGCCUGCCUGCCUGCCUCCACCUCAGGUCACUUUGUUUUGGUUUGGGGGUGAGUAAUGGGAGGGAUCAUCUUUUAUGGCUACUUUCCUGGGUUCAAGGGCCUGCUCCUUCCUCUCACUCUCUCAUGUCUACAUGAACUCAUGGUCCUCUACUACUGCUGACCAGGAUGCUUCAUUAGACUCUGUUGAUUCCCCUGAGCCCUGCCCAUACCUUUGUAAGGGUCCCUUCAUUAACACGUCCCAGGUUCCAUCUGAAGGUAUCAUCAACUAGCUUCUUGCUGGAAACCUUGACUGAUACAACUGUCUUCUACCCAAAUGAGGUACUAAACUCUGACAAGAUGAUCCUGGAAAAUCCCAAGGAGACAGGAGUACAUCAUGAGAAACGCUGGGCUGGAAGAAGCACAAGCUGGAAUCAAGAUUGCCAGGA